AUUGAACGCUGGCGGCAUGCCUUACACAUGCAAGUCGAACGGCAGCACGGGAGCAAUCCUGGUGGCGAGUGGCGAACGGGUGAGUAAUAUAUCGGAACGUGCCCAGUCGUGGGGAUAACGUAGCGAAAGCUACGCUAAUACCGCAUACGAUCUAUGGAUGAAAGCGGGGGAUCGCAAGACCUCGCGCGAUUGGAGCGGCCGAUAUCAGAUUAGGUAGUUGGUGAGGUAAAGGGCUCACCAAGCCGACGAUACUGUAGCUGGUCUGAGAGGACGACCAGCCACACUGGGACUGAGACACGGUCCAGACUCCUACGGAGGCAGCAGUGGGGAAUAUUGGACAAUGGGCGAAAGCCUGAUCCAGCCAUGCCGCGUGUGUGAAGAAGGUCUUCGGAUUGUAAAGCACUUUAAGUUUGGGAGGAAGGGUAGGUAACCUAAUAACGUUGCUACUUUGACGUUACCGACAGAAUAAGNACCGGCUAACUUCGUGCC
rnacentral:rRNA from 1 species